AGAAACAGAGGAAUUAGUAAUCAAAAAGGAAGAUGAAAGAGUUGUUCCAAUGGCAUCACCAUUAACACCGUCGAAUUGGUCGACGAUUUGGGAGAGUGGAGAUGGAAAAGGCAUUUUUGAUUUACUUUGAAUUGUCAGUAUUGGGUAGAUGAAGGAUAAAUAUAUGGCACCUGACUCUAAAAUGUCUGAGGUGAUUUGGGACACGAAGAAGGUCGUGGGUGUAUCUAAGUUCUGUAAUUUAAGACAAAAACAUCCGUAAGAUAACUGUUCGAUUUUGAUUUAUUCAUUUGUAUGAAGUGGGAAAUAUAUACCUAGUGAAGAUUCAGCAAGAACUAUGUAUGUGUGUAUAGAUUUAUUAUCCCUGUUAUCUAGUGAAGAUAUAUAAAUAUUUGAA
rnacentral:misc_RNA from 1 species